GGUCACGUAAGCAGACAGUUCCUUGCACACGUCAUUUUGUUUUGGGUCCUCUAGCGGCGUGCUACGGUACUUCGGCGCGGGGAUCCCAAUGAGUGCCAUUGGUCUGCAACUACCGAGGACAGCGCUGAACUCCGGGACGCCUCCGCGAACAAGGCUUGCCCUGGACGCCGCACGCCGCCAAAUCUGACGCUACAUUCACCAUGCUAAGCAGAGGUUCUGAGGAACGAAACGUGCCGCGGGUGUAGCCUUUAGAGCUCUCAGGGAUCUCGCAUCGAUGGGGCUGGUGAGUGCCGCAUGUUCCUGUAUCUACCCUUGCUUGCCUCUGUGUUUUCUCUUG